rnacentral:lncRNA from 1 species
AUGGUUUGCGGCUCUUCUGAUGUGAUUUUGAGGCAGAAUGACAGUGCCAAUCGAAUAGAAAUAUCCAUGUCCUCAAAUCACCAACAGGAUGGGAGCGUGCAGCUCGCACACACAGGGAACUGUGUGACUUUAGAGGGGCUAGAAUCAGAUCAGCCAAAUCUUUCUGACUGUACGGUCCAACAUGUACAAGAGUCCAUUCCAGCUGAUCAUAAACUCUCACAGAUUCAGAUAUGCCUGAAUGAUACUCCAGAUAUCGUGAAUGUGGAAGAGAGGCAAGAAGUGAGUGCAGAGGCUCUCGAUGCUGUUGAGGUGAAAGAUUUGAUCGAUGUAGGUGUUUUAAUGCAGCCAGAUAUGGAGGAUACCUGGCUGGUUGUAAGUGAGAUAGAUGGGCAGUCUGAGCAUGCAGAGAUGGAGGUCAGCGAGGAGUCUCUUGUGCAGUGCCCUGAAUCCCAGUCAACUGUUGCUGUAUAUGAAUGCACUGUGCCCUGCUUUACAUCAACUGCCCUUCACAGUGAUGUUAAGCUGCUGGUAACUGACAAAGAAGAGGAGGAACCAAUAGAAACAUUGACGCAAGACUCACAAGCCCAGAGUAAUCUAGGGAAUCAGACCUCAUCUCGUCCUGAUGCACUCAAACCCACCGAAGAGUUACUUACCAUGGCCUCUAUGCAAAAAGAAGAAUCUAUAAUUGUCAAGCAAAAUGAUGAUUCAACUCGCACUGAUCUUGCAAACACGCUGACAGGUUUAACAUCCACGGUGAUGAACGUCACACUUGAGUCUGUGCGAGAGCAGCAAGAAUCUGUUAUGGUGGAAAACACACCAGGUGUGUCAUUAAUUUCAUUGUCUUCUGGGACGAUUGAUCCAAAGCUACUGAUCCUAAAGAAGGGUGACAGCCCUGCCCUUAAGCAACCUUCUUCAGUGUCUGCUAGGAUCUCAACCACGCAGAACUUACCUGUCCUGGCUGGAUCACCCAGUGAUGGAUUAAAUAAAGCUGCAGAGUGCCUUGCUAAAACUGAAUCAGCUGCAUCCUCCAUCCAUCCUUCUAAUGUACUUUCACAGAACAGCUCUGUGAAAGAAAACUUAGAUAAAUCAAACAGUUCUGGCAAGUUGCUUCAAAAGGAAUCCUCUGCUAGCGCUUCUUCAUCAGUUCAACUCCAUAACUCAAAAAGCCGCCUUCCUCCUCCUGCUGGAGAUGUGUGGGGUGCUGUAUCCAGUGUUGUCCCAGAUUCAAUGAUUUUGGGGGUUGAACUGGAGAUGGAGCAGCAGCAGUUACCAGAAGAACUUUUGUCAACAACGCAAGAUGCUCAGAACUCCAUCCUGGAGUCACUUGACGCUUCUAUAGAGGAGAGCAGCGAUGCAGAGGUUGAUAGCUCUAUGGAUGUCCAGAACGAGGACAGCAAUGCUACUCCCAGUCCAGCAGCGAACAAGGUAAAACCAACUAAAUUAUUAACUCGCCUAUAA